UUUUGACAUGGCUGUAACCAUGGGUGAUUUUAGUUUGCUUUUUGUGCAGCUGCCAGAUCUAUCCGCACCAGCAGUAGGAGGUUUGUUCUCACAACAUAAUUGAGCAGCUCUGGAACCAGGGAGGUCCCAGCUGCCUCCUCUGGCAGUGCUGCGGGCACGGACCACUGUGCAGAUGGAAAUGACCCUGGGAACCAGCUCUAUUCUGUUGAAUAGAAGCUCCUCAGACAGACCUGGAAGGAGAAGGGACAAUGAAACUGAUACUUCUGUCUGAAUUCAGUGGCCACCUCCACAGAAAAAAGCACAGAGCCUGGGAAGAUACGUACACAUCGGAGGAGAGACAGCUCAUCCUGGGCAGCCUCAGCAAAGCCUUCCCUGCUCUUCAGGACCUUCACAGCUACAUUCUUCUUCUUUCUACAAAAGGAACCACAGCUCUACAUCAUACACAACCCACUGACUUGCUGCAGGCCUGGACCAGGUCAGAGAACUUCAGCCCAAAAAUGUACCGGCCCCUAGUAGCUACAGCAGGGAGCAGUGGUGCUUCACCUCGCCUGCACAACUCUACCUGCACGAAACAUGCAAGGAGCUGCCCAACCACUUGCCAUGCACCCCAGCACCUGGACUCGUGGAGUUGGAAUAUUCAGCAGAGUGAUACAUGCCUUCAUCCAGCACAGACCUGGUAAGUCCUGGCUGAGUGUAGCAUCCCUGCAAGUCGCAACACACAGCAUAAAAGCAGCCCCAUGGGCACGUGGGGGGCUCAGCCUCUGCAGCCCUGCGCACUUACCAUGCAGCUCAGGAAGCAGGGGAUGCCACUCCUCUCAUCAUCUGGCUCGUGCUGGAAGCUCCCAAAAGUGAGAUACCAGCUGGUCCUGCUCUCCUUUUAGUCUGCACUGCUUGGGAGGGUUGUCCUUGGGCCAACCAAACUUUUCUGCAACACUGGAUAGAUGUGUUGAGGAGCAACGUAUCAGAUCUCAGCACCGUUUCUGGGAACAACCUUGGCUGCAGGGUAGCAGGAGACCCAGGACAGCUGCGAUGAGUUUCCUUUCCUGCCUCAGCUGCCCUGGCAGCAGGUCUGUCACCCUGCUGGAGCUCCACGAUCUUUGCAGCAACUAUUUAUAGAGGAAAAUCCACCACUCUGCUGAGAUGGAAAUAGGAAAGCCUUCCCUCUCUGCAGUGGUUCCCACUGCUCCCAGGAGCAUGGCAGCAGGCUGUGUGGCCCAGCCUUGUGGCAGUGGCACCACCUCCCGUCUCUGCACGGCACAGCGGUCACCAGCCUGUGUGUGGCUCCCCAAGCCAUGCUACUGUACUGAAGGCAUCUCUGCCUCAGCACCCUGAGACACACUGGCCCUCCAGAUAUAGGGACAAGGCAGCGCAGUUCUGCACAGAUGUGCUGGCAGCACUUUCACUUAGCUGCUUGCAGGUUUUAGUGCAGUAACAGCUGUGCCCCCCCCCACCUCCACCCAGGCAGAAGGAAUGGGAAAGGGCUGCAGCCUCACUGUGAGCCUAGGCACCUAGUAUCCCUGCACCACUGUGGAGCAAAGGACCACACGCAGCGAAACCACUUGAUACAUUCCCCCCUACGCCCACGUGCAGCAGAGCUUGGCAGCCUCAGCCUUCCCCUGGCUGGGGGCCCUGGUGUUGUGCAGCUCAGGUUUCCUUGCAGAGCCUGCAGAGACCCAGCCCUGGAGCAAGGGGUUAAUCCUGCCCUGCUGCCAGAACCCAGGCCAGGGCCUCACUUCUCCCCCUGCCUGUGCCCCUCUCCUCUCACCUGCCGCCCCCAGCACUAAAAAUAUCGGGGGAGGGGGCUGAGACAGAGCCAGGAGCAGGGCAGCAGCAAGGGAGGGAGCUCAGCUUCACAGGAGGAGAGCUCUGUAACCCAUAAAAGGCCAGGAAGAACACACACAUAGGUGAAGGCGGGACUUAAGCACAGUGGCGUUUUACGUUGUAG
rnacentral:lncRNA from 1 species